CCUACGGGAGACAGCAGUGAGGAAUAUUGGUCAAUGGACGAGAGUCUGAACCAGCCAAGUAGCGUGAAUGAUGACUGCCCUAUGGGUUGUAAACUUCUUUUAUAAAGGAAUAAAACGAGGCACGUGUGCCUUUUUGCAUGUACUUUAUGAAUAAGGAUCGGCUAACUCCGUGCCAGCCGCCGCGGUAAUACGGAGGAUUCGAGCGUUAUCCAGAUUUAGUGGGUAUAAAGGGAGCGUAGAUGGGUUGUUAAGUUAGUUGUGAAAGUUUGUGGCUCAACCGUAAAAUUGCAAUUGAUACUGGCAGUCUUGAGUACAGGUGAGGUAGGCGGAAUUCGUGGUGUAGCGGUGAAAUGCGUAGAUAUCACGAAGAACCCCGAUUGCGAAGGCAGCUUACUAAACUGUGACUGACAUUGAUGCUCGAAAGUGUGGGUAUCAAACAGGAUUAGAUACCCGAGUAGUC
rnacentral:rRNA from 1 species